rnacentral:rRNA from 1 species
AUUGAACGCUGGCGGCAGGCCUAACACAUGCAAGUCGAGCGGAAACGAGUUAUCUGAACCUUCGGGGAACGAUAACGGCGUCGAGCGGCGGACGGGUGAGUAAUGCCUAGGAAAUUGCCCUGAUGUGGGGGAUAACCAUUGGAAACGAUGGCUAAUACCGCAUAAUGCCUACGGGCCAAAGAGGGGGACCUUCGGGCCUCUCGCGUCAGGAUAUGCCUAGGUGGGAUUAGCUAGUUGGUGAGGUAAUGGCUCACCAAGGCGACGAUCCCUAGCUGGUCUGAGAGGAUGAUCAGCCACACUGGAACUGAGACACGGUCCAGACUCCUACGGGAGGCAGCAGUGGGGAAUAUUGCACAAUGGGCGCAAGCCUGAUGCAGCCAUGCCGCGUGUGUGAAGAAGGCCUUCGGGUUGUAAAGCACUUUCAGUCGUGAGGAAGGU